GGGCACACCAACUUGUCAUAUUCAUGCUCUGCCAAACCUAGGCAUCUAACCUGCACACUAUAAGGGAAUAUAGAAACAAAAAGAAGAACUGGGAACACUAAAAGUCAAAGAUUGUGUGAGUCCUUAGUACCCAGUCACCAGUCUUGGUUAGAAAGGGCAAGAAGGUACUUUACUUUAGGUGGAAGUGCAAGUAAAGCACUCGGACAUCCUUCCUUUGAGGGCAAACCUCACAUGGCUGUUAAAGAGCAGUCAUCUGAUUCCCUGCUUGCAAUCAAACACAGCAUAGUCCAGGAACAGUUUUACUGUGUGAUCUGCCAUUUAGGCAAGCUGGGCCUCAGAGGCAGCUGUUACAAGCAAGCAGGAAGAAAGACAACAAAGAUGGUAUGUAAAGAAUAAAUCAAAUUAUUAGGCACAGGGUAGUUGUAUUCUAGGUCUGUGGUUGUAGCCUCAGUAGGGUAAAGGUAGGCUAAAAAAGAGAUCAGGAGACAAGCAAUAUAUGCCAGUUAUGGAGUGACUGAGUGAAAAAAUUAUAUAUUGGUGAUUCACAACUAAUUUCAUACUGGAAAUGCAACCCCAACGUUGUCUGUGCCCAAGCCAGCUCAGCAAGAACAAACAUACCAGAUGGUGUUCUAUGCUUUCCAAGCAAUGCAUUGAGGGCCCUGUCUCCUGGCAGUGCAGCAGGAAAUAAAGAGAACCUUUCUUAUGUAAAACUUGAUAAUUGGCGUCCAGGACAAAGCUUGCCAACUCCCCUGAACUUAUUAAACAGCAUGUAUUAAAUCAAAGGACUGUAGAGCAGGAUCUUGUAAAACUCAUAUUCUGAACACUCACCCACCCCAUUAAAGAAGACAUAUAUCUGCAUACAUAUGCAUACCAACAUUACCAAAUACCGUAUUUUUCCGUGUAUAACACAUCCCCAUGCAUAAGACGCCCCCUGUUUUUGGGGACUCCAAAUUAAGAAAAUGGGGAGAGAUUGCAGAAAAAUGCAGAUUAGCUUCAAAAGUGGUAUAAAAUCUGUUUAUAAAGAAACCCCAUUCAUAUCCAACCAAUUAAAAUUUACUUCUCAAUCGCAGUCAUUGCAGCCUAGCACAAAAGACAGAACACCCAGACUCUGAUGAGUUUUAGUGAAACAGAAUCACAGGUUUAUAGGGAACCCAUUUUUUAUUUAUUGUUGGAUUAUUAUUAAACUUAUAUACGACAAGCUGACGUGCAAACCAGGUCAUUGUUUUGCAGCUUUUAGAAAAUAAAACCAAAAGCUGGAUUACAGCAGUAAACUGUACCUCGGGUUACAGAUGCUUCAGGUUACAUAUGCUUCAGGUUACAGACUCCGCUAACCCAGAAAUAGUGCUUCAGGUUAAGAACUUUGAUUCAGGAUGAGAACAGAAAUUGUGCUUCGGUGGCACAGCAGCAGCAGGAGGCCCCAUUAGCUAAAGUGGUGCUUCAGGUUAAGAACAGUUUCAGGUUAAGUACGGACCUCUGGAACGAAUUAAGUACUUAACCCGAAGUACCACUGUAUUUGAAUAUAAGAUGUUCAGAUUUCAUGUAAUAGGAGUCUGUUGUGUUCCUUGUAAUAUUAUGUCUAAAAACAUGUAGAGUUUGAAAACGUCUUGCAUGUCUUCUGAAAGACAAGGAAAUCAUGUAAGAAGGUGUUUCCUAUCGGGGGCCAUAUGGCCUCUGGGGAGCCCCAGGAUAUUCCAAGGUGGGCACAGGUGAAAAUUACAUUAAUUGGGGGCUACAGCAUGAAGCUAGGAGGCCACAGAGAAAAGUGAGAAGAAAAGAAAGCCUUUAUUAAAAAAUCCUGAUUGGCUGCCUAUCUGCUUGACCAAUCACAAGCAGGUAAGGGGGUGGCCUAGCGUGCUUUUUUGCCAUGUUCCUUUUCUUGGAGAAGUCCUAGUUUGUUUCCAGCAAUUGCUGAGGCUCCCAUUUUGACCACUGCUUGUAGCUGCUGCCAGUGCUGGGCCAGGUGGCAGCCUGGGCCUGAUGCCGCAAGGCGUGGGGUGCAAUCCACCACAGCAGCUAGCAAAUUGGGGCCUUUGGGUAUUGCCAAGGGACGCAGGGCCCAUUGGCAGCAUCGGCCUGUCUCUGCAAGGCAUGUGGCGAAAUCCACCCCAGCGCCUAGCCAAGCUGGGUUGUCUGGUGGUAUUGACUUGCAUCUAGUAAAUAACUAAGUGUCUACUCAGAAUAAAGUCGCACUGAGUUCAGUGGGCCUUACUCUCAGGUAAAGGUGUGGGGGGGCUAUAGUGUUUUAUCUAGGCAGCCAGGGCUCCUCCGGAUGGCAAGAUCUUUUUGCACCAGGUCAGUGAGGACCACUUGCUUUAAAAAAAAUAUUCCCCAUAUAUACAUAAAUUCUAUUUUCCAGGGACAGUCACAGAUUUGCAGAAGUCAUCCCAGUUUCUGAUUUCAUCCCAGAAUGUCCCGCUUUUCCUUAGAAUGUCCCUAUUUUCACCAGAGAAAUGUAGGAGGUUAUGGUAGGAUGUCUCUAUUUUCAUAUGAGAAAUGUUGAAGGGUAUGGAAUUAUCCGACCCCCCCCCCCAACCAUCUGAAGGCAGCCCUGUACAGGGAAGAUUUUUAAAUGUUUAAUGUUUUAUUAUGUUUUUAUAUAUGUUGGCUGGAGCAACCCAGUCAGAAGGGUGGGGUAUAAAUGGUAAAAUUAUUAUUAUGGAAUAGGACAUCCCUAUUUUCAUGGGAGAAAUGUUGGAGGGUAUGCUUUUGGACUGUUAUCUGUAGGUUUCUCACUCUAUGUCAAAUAACUGGGGUCAAAUAAGUGUUGUUUACUUUUCAUAAUACAUGGAAGGUGGAUCUCCCUUGGUAGGUUCUGGACUCUCCUUCCUUGGAAGUUUCUAAGUAGAGGUUGGCUGGCCAUCUGUCAUGGAUGCUUUAGCUGAGUUUCCUACAUUGCAGGGGGUUGCACCAGAAAGAUGACCCUUGGGGUCCCUUCCAGCUCAUUAUGUUCCUAUAAUUUUAUGUAUAAUUUUGUAUAAAUUAUAAAUAUUAUAUAGUAGAAAUGAUGGGGAAUCGGUAGUCCUCUGGAUUUGUUUGACUCUAACAACCAGAGCUGCUGGCAAUGAAUAUCUGUUGCAUCUUUUUUUUUUCCAAAAUAGGCCCUCUAAAUUUAUAGAAUCAUAGAGCUGAAAGGGACCGCAAUGGUCCUCUAGUCCAACCCCCUCAUGAUUUAUCUUUUUGCCCAAUGUGAGGCUUAAAUUAAGAUUCUCACACUCUACCAGCGGAGCUAUCCUUCAAUGCUUUUUGUUAGAUUUUGAUUUCUGUGAUCAUUGUUGUUCUCUGAACCAACAUUAAUUUGUGUACUACAUUGUAAAGUUGUAGUUUCUGAGCAUUCUUGUGGUACUUCAGUGCAGCAUUCAAAACUCCCAUUGUUCUAGGCACGUUUUUUGACAGGGAAUUUCAUUAGCACAAGCAGUUUCUGAGCUCUGGGCGCAGUACUGCGCCUAAGAUUUCAGAUGAAAACUGCACAGUGGAAGGAAACGAGGACCUUUUUCUGCCUCCCCACUUCCAGCCACUCUCUGAAGACCAGAGAAGAGACCCUCUUAAGAAUAUUAGGGGGGGUGGGGGACAAGGGAAGCAUGGCUUUGUUUUUCGCAGUCUUCAGAUGAGGACUAGACCAUGCAAAAAAUGAACGUAAGAUUUUAGCUGCGGGUCAUUCAUUUCCAGCUUCGUAUUCUUAUUAUAAAAAAGAACGCCUAGAAAUUCCGUUGUUGUGCCCAUAACCUAGGUUUAAGGUGCCAUUUAGCUCCUAGCUUUCAUAUCUCAGUUUCUAACACUCCUUCAGUGAGUUUCCUUUGUCUAGGGCUAGGCAAUGUAUUAUGGUUGCCCUGGGAUACAUGUCUGUGGCAAAAUCUCCAGCAAUAAUGCAUGAAAUCCUUGUUUAUUACAUUUCUCAGAGACUUAUACUCAAAUUGUCUCUCAAGGUGACUUACAAUGUAAUCAUGCCAUGCCAUGGGGUAAGAGUUUGUGUAUUCCAACUCCCCCAUGGUACUGAGGUCCAUUGAGAGAGAGGCUUAAAAUGUGGCUCCUCCACAUUUAAGAACUUGUGCACCUUAUAGCUAGAGAGUGGAGGAUAUACUAUGGGGUUGCUGAUGGCCAUAGCAACUGUAACUGUGAAGCUCAGCCCCCAAACUGCUCAGUUAAGCAUGCCACUAAAUCAGCUGAGACCACCUUUGUGUUUAGUGAGGGGGGUAGCUAAUUUGGCUGAUUUUAUGUCAUGUGAAAAUUAUCUUUAUAGCCUUUCUGAAAGGCACUGUCUUGUGUUUGCUCCUGUCAAGUCCUUGAGCUGGCUGUGAUCUCCCUGAAUUCUCAAAUGCCAACAAAUUGGGAUGGGGGGGUGCAUGCGCACUCACAAAUUCCUUUACUAUUCCCCCCCCCAAAUUCCUUUACUAUUCCAGACAUGAAUUCUGUUGACUGAAAAUGUUUUAUUUGACCCGUUCCUUCCCUAUUGAGUAGUAGUCCAGUUAUAUAUGAAAGAGCAGCAUUUUCCGAUUAGAUAUGCUGAACCAUUUACAGCAUCUGAUGGAUGAGAGGAAUUCAUCGGGCUGCUAUGGAAUCUCCUUCCCAUAAUGCAGUUUGUAUCCUUUAUGUGCUUGUCAUGCUGCUGCAGACAUUGUCGCUGAUCAAAGGAGUAGUGUCAUGAUUUGCAUGCAGUAAAACUGAACAACCCCCUCCCCUUUACCUUCACUCUGUGCCAUUCAGGAGGAGACAAGAGGAGAAGGCAGCAGGAGGAGCAGUGUCUUUGCUAAUUAGACACUAAAAGUGAUGGAAGCUUUUUUAAAGCAGCACUUUUGCCCCAGGCAUGAAUUUACUAACUUUAGUUUGUUGUUAGGUUUGGUUCAUUGAUCUUGUCACAAUUGAUGAUUCAUUAAGUUGUGACUCGUGUAGAAAUUACAAUGUGCAGAUGAAUCGGAAGGACACGUCUGAGCACUCUCAAAGUGUUAAUUAUUUAGGAAGGGCUCUUGGUAGCAGGCAUGUGCUGCACUCCAAGUGCCAAUUGCCAUUUUAGAGCCUCAGCUCAUAGACUGCGGGUGGCAGAAAUACAGCCCUUUAAAUUCAUGUUGCUCAGACGGGUCAGUUUUUAAAUAUCUCUUCAAUUAAUGCAGUGUAGUUCAGAAAGAGGUGGGGUUUUGCUGCGCAAAGACUCUUUUGCCUAAGCCCAGAAGGCUUUUAAUACCUAGAGCAUUAUGGGCAUUAAUAAUCCCACCAUAAUCACAGUGAAGUUAAAUAUUUCUUUUUAUGAUUUUAUUCUCCCACCUAGGUUUGGUACUAGCCAUUCUUUCACUGCAAGUGCUAAGAAUUCUAGCAUAAAGAUGUUUCACGUAUUUUGAGAGAGAGAAAAGUUGCCUACAGACUGAAAUAGAUGGAUUCCCUACACUUGAGUUUUGUCUAGUUUAUUUAGGAGGCAAGUAGAGUUCUGAGAAUGCUCCUCUCCUCUGUAAUAUUUUUAAGAGCUGAGGGUUCUUAGAGGGUUCCCAGGAGUCUCUAUGGCCCACUUUCAGAAUCGCUAUCACAAAUUUAUUUAUUUGUACUUAUUACUUACCUUUCACCAUAUAGUCCCAGAGCAGAUUGCAACAUAAAAAAUAUAGUAUUAAAAUCAAAAACAAUUUACAAUCAGAAGAAUUCCAUGUUAUAUUUUCUGACACAUUGCUUCUAGAAAAUAUGCACUGUGAAUCUUUUCUAAGAUCCCGGAAGUAAUUGUGCAGGUUUUCAGUUCUUUGGUAUUGUGGCUUCUACAGGGUGAGUCCUUUAAAAGAGGCACACAUGUUCCACAGGGUCUCUUUUAAAAGACUUACCCUGUAAAACUGUCACUGCUU